rnacentral:rRNA from 1 species
UACAAAGGGGGCUAGCGUUGCUCGGAAUUACUGGGCGUAAAGGGCGCGUAGGCGGAUGUUUAAGUCAGAGGUGAAAGCCCAGGGCUCAACCUUGGAACUGCCUUUGAUACUGGGCAUCUUGAGUUCGGGAGAGGUGAGUGGAAUACCCAGUGUAGAGGUGAAAUUCGUAGAUAUGUGGAGGAACACCGAUGGCGAAGGCAGCCCCCUGGGUUAACACUGACGCUCAUGCACGAAAGCGUGGGGAGCAAACAGG